rnacentral:rRNA from 1 species
UUCGCCCUUAGAGUUUGAUCCUGGCUCAGGACGAACGCUGGCGGCGCGCCUAACACAUGCAAGUCGAACGAGCGAGAGAGAGCUUGCUUUCUCGAGCGAGUGGCGAACGGGUGAGUAACGCGUGAGGAACCUGCCUCAAAGAGGGGGACAACAGUUGGAAACGACUGCUAAUACCGCAUAAGCCCACAGCUCGGCAUCGAGCAGAGGGAAAAGGAGCAAUCCGCUUUGAGAUGGCCUCGCGUCCGAUUAGCUGGUUGGUGAGGUACGGCCCACCAAGGCGACGAUCGGUAGCCGGACUGAGAGGUUGAACGGCCACAUUGGGACUGAGACACGGCCCAGACUCCUACGGGAGGCAGCAGUGGGGAAUAUUGCACAAUGGGGGAAACCCUGAUGCAGCGACGCCGCGUGGAGGAAGAAGGUCUUCGGAUUGUAAACUCCUGUUGUUGAGGAAGAUAAUGACGGUACUCAACAAGGAAGUGACGGCUAACUACGUGCCAGCAGCCGCGGUAAAACGUAGGUCACAAGCGUUGUCCGGAAUUACUGGGUGUAAAGGGAGCGCAGGCGGGAAGACAAGUUGGAAGUGAAAUCCAUGGGCUCAACCCAUGAACUGCUUUCAAAACUGUUUUUCUUGAGUAGUGCAGAGGUAGGCGGAAUUCCCGGUGUAGCGGUGGAAUGCGUAGAUAUCGGGAGGAACACCAGUGGCGAAGGCGGCCUACUGGGCACCAACUGACGCUGAGGCUCGAAAGUGUGGGUAGCAAACAGGAUUAGAUACCCUGGUAGUCCACACUGUAAACGAUGAUUACUAGGUGUUUGGAGGAUUGACCCCUUCAGUGCCGCAGUUAACACAAUAAGUAAUCCACCUGGGGAGUACGACCGCAAGGUUGAAACUCAAAGGAAUUGACGGGGGCCCGCACAAGCAGUGGAGUAUGUGGUUUAAUUCGACGCAACGCGAAGAACCUUACCAAGUCUUGACAUCCUGCGACGGUGCUGGAAACAGUACUUUCCUUCGGGACGCAGAGACAGGUGGUGCAUGGUUGUCGUCAGCUCGUGUCGUGAGAUGUUGGGUUAAGUCCCGCAACGAGCGCAACCCUUAUGGUCAGUUACUACGCAAGAGGACUCUGGCCAGAUUGCCGUUGACAAAACGGAGGAAGGUGGGGAUGACGUCAAAUCAUCAUGCCCUUUAUGACUUGGGCUACACACGUACUACAAUGGCGUUAAACAAAGAGAAGCAAGACCGCGAGGCGGAGCAAAACUCAGAAACAACGUCCCAGUUCGGACUGCAGGCUGCAACUCGCCUGCACGAAGUCGGAAUUGCUAGUAAUCGCAGAUCAGCAUGCUGCGGUGAAUACGUAUCCCGGGCCUUGCACACACCGCCCGUCA